GUCUACGGCCAUACCACACUAAACGCCCGAUCUCAUCUGAUCUCGGCAGCUAAGCAGGGUCGGGCCUGGUUAGUACUUGGAUGGGAGACCGCUUGGGAAUACUGGGUGCUGUAGGCU
rnacentral:rRNA from 1 species